AACCUAUGCAGGGGAAUAACCUCGGGAAACUGAGUAUAAUGCCCCAUAGUCCACUACGCCUGGAACGGUGAGUGGAUCAAAGCUCAGGCGGCAUAGGAUGGGCCUGCGGCGUAUCAGGUUGUAGGGGGUGUAAAGUACCCUCUAGCCAUCUACGCGUACGGGUGUUGGGAGACAUAGCCCGGAGAUGGAUUCUGAGACACGAAUCCAGACCCUACGGGGUGCAGCAGGCGCGAAAACUUGACAAUGCGAGCAAUCGUGAUCAGGGAACUCCAAGUGGCUGGGGUAAGACCCAGUCUUUUCAUAACUCUUCAAAGGUUGUAGAAUAAGGGGUGGGUAAGGACGGUGCCAGCCGCCGCGGUAGUACCGGCGCCUCAAGUGGUAGUCGCUUUUAUUGGGCCUAAAACGUCCGUAGCCGGUUUGGUACAUUCGUGGGUAAAUCAACUCGCUCAACGAGUUGAAUUCUGCGAGGACGGCCAGACUUGGGACCGGGAGAGGUGUGGGGUACUCUCAGGGUAGGGGU
rnacentral:rRNA from 1 species